UACAGAGGGUGCAAGCGUUGUUCGGAAUUAUUGGGCGUAAAGCGCGUGUAGGCGGCGAUGCAAGUCGGGUGUGAAAGCCCUCAGCUUAACUGAGGAAGUGCGCCCGAAACUGCGUUGCUUGAGUACCGGAGAGGAUGGCGGAAUUCCCGAAGUAGAGGUGAAAUUCGUAGAUAUCGGGAGGAACACCGGUGGCGAAGGCGGCCAUCUGGACGGAUACUGACGCUGAGACGCGAAAGCGUGGGUAGCAAACAGG
rnacentral:rRNA from 1 species